UGAACGCUGGCGGCGUGCCUACUACAUGCACGUCGAGCGAACAGACGAGGAGCUUGCUCCUCUGACGUUAGCGGCGGACGGGUGAGUAACACGUGGAUAACCUACCUAUAAGACUGGGAUAACUUCGGGAAACCGGAGCUAAUACCGGAUAAUAUAUUGAACCGCAUGGUUCAAUAGUGAAAGACGGUUUUGCUGUCACUUAUAGAUGGAUCCGCGCCGCAUUAGCUAGUUGGUAAGGUAACGGCUUACCAAGGCGACGAUGCGUAGCCGACCUGAGAGGGUGAUCGGCCACACUGGAACUGAGACACGGUCCAGACUCCUACGGGAGGCAGCAGUAGGGAAUCUUCCGCAAUGGGCGAAAGCCUGACGGAGCAACGCCGCGUGAGUGAUGAAGGUCUUCGGAUCGUAAAACUCUGUUACUAGGGAAGAACAAAUGUGUAAGUAACUAUGCACGUCUUGACGGUACCUAAUCAGAAAGCCACGGCUAACUACGUG
rnacentral:rRNA from 1 species